AUUGAACGCUGGCGGCAGGCCUAACACAUGCAAGUCGAACGGAGUGGCGAACGGGUGAGUAAUGUAUCGGAACGUGCCCAGUAGAGGGGGAUAACUACGCGAAAGCGUAGCUAAUACCGCAUACUAUUGGAGCGGCCGAUAUCGGAUUAGCUAGUUGGUGGGGUAACGGCUCACCAGGGCGACGAUCCGUAGCUGGUUUGAGAGGACGACCAGCAAAACUGGGACUGAGACACGGCCCAGAAUCCUACUGGAGGCAGCAGUGGGGAAUUUUGGGCAAUGGGGGAAACCCUGAUCCAGCCAUCCCGCGUGUGCGAUGAGGGCCUUCGGGUUGUAAAGCACUUUUGGCAGGAAAGCGGUACCUGCAGAAUAAGCACCGGCUAACUACGUGCCAGCAGCCGCGGUAAUAC
rnacentral:rRNA from 1 species